UCCUAUUGCCUAGAAAUAAACCCUCUAAGUAACAGAAAACAGAAUUUAAAUUUAAUUCAACCUCCAUUAGUAAGUUUGUGACUACAUGUUGGGAAAACAACAACUUACAUCUGGGAAUACAUCCAACAUCUCAAAAGAAAUGCAGGCUCGGGUUCUUAAUAUAUUCAAUGAAUGCUGUAGGUGUGUCUGAUGGCGUUGACUAGUCAUAUGUCGGGCUGCAUAAUUUCUGUCAAAAAUCAGCAAACUAAGAAUAAAAAUCCCAAAUGAACUUUUUAAAACCAGUCACCCCCACUACUCAAAUUCAUCCAUCAAGCCUCCGAGAAUAUUCUCUGCGAGAGCCCCACACGACAUGCGGUACAAAAGCAGGAAGUGCCUAAGGUUAAAGGACCACACUAUAAAUAACAUCCACUGGCCUCACACAUUCAUACUAGCCUAUCUCUUGUUCCCAAACAUUCUCUCAAGUAAAGGAGUGUGAAAUAAGAGCUGGUUCAACAUUUUCUCCUCUGGGCUCAUAUGACUGUCAGUGUAUAAACAAUGAAAAUCCACAUUUUCAUUGGAUACUAAUGGAUACUUUUUUCAUCGUGAAGAAGGGGCGUGUUAUCACAGGACUAGAGAUAGAAGUUUUGCUGUAUUGCCUCUGUUGGUUUGUAAGGUUUUGUUGUUUGGGGAGAAGCAGGAUGAAGGAAACAAAGGAAGGACAAAUGCCGCUUAGAGAAGGAACGCUUAUGAAAGGGGAAAGAGCUCCAAGCAGAAAGCCGUUAGAGACGCUGUUCAUUUCUCCUUAAAGCCUUGAGUGAGUGGUCACCUCUCCAGCUCUGGGACCUUAGCAGCUGCAGGACUGGAACCCAGGCAGCCUGACUGCAGAGACCUUGUUCUUCCUGUAACCUCUAUACCCUCCUGGGCUCUGAUGAGUCACCUUGGAAUCUACAGGAGCAGCCCACUGAGCCACACUACUCCAAAGCGACUUAGUGUAUCCAAGCCGCCGCUGAGACGGGAGAGGCAGGGAGUGCACGUUCCCAGGCUCAGGAGUGAGAUGACACCAGAUCUACAGCUCUAGCCCUGACCUUGCUGAUGGGCCCCUACCGGUCCACGGAUGUCCACCUGGCACUGGCUUAUCAACAAGACAGACAAGCAUGGAUGCAAAGCUGACUAGCAAGCACUUCCUAAGCGACCUUGAGCAUAUGAGUCAGGGGAGUCCAGAUGAGGUAUGUAAACAAUUCCCAAAUCUCAGGAGCUUAAACCAAUAAAGGUCUGUUUCACGUUCCUAUUAACAUGUGCAUUCUAUGCUGGUUGGGCUCUGUUCUGGAUCCUCUUUUCCUCUCAAUCCAGGACUCAAGUCAAUGGAGCAGUCAGACUGAAUAUGGUCAGUCUGUAGCAGAGGAAAAUAAAGGACUCCAGAAGGUCCCUCACCAGCGAUUGUAUUGUAUGCUUGGCCUCAAACUAGCAAUAUCCCUUCCAACAACCCCACCCAACUUCAGUGAGUUAGAAAAUACAAUCUGACUCUAGCUCUCCAACUUCAGGACACAGAUAUACUUGGUGAAUAGCCUGGUGCCUUCUACAGUGAGUUAAUCCACUGCGCUUAGCCUCAGUGACCCAUAGGGAAAAUGGAGAUAAUUACACACACCUCCACAGAUUGUCAUAAAGGUUAAUCAGAGUUGACUCAUGUAGAGCACUUAGAAUAGUCCCUGGCCCAUAGGAGGUUCUCUAGAAAUACCAGCUCCUUUCCUUGCAUUCGAAACAGAAUUCUCAGUCUCCCACACCUGCUUCUGGCUGCCCACACCCCAUGUCUGAAAAAGAUUCCACCGUUUUUCUAGUCACUUUCAUUAAAAACCUGCCCGUUAUCUAUGAUCUCUGUUCAUCCUUCAUCAUGUUGCCCCAGUACAAUGACCUCCAAGUUUGGCCAAUAUGCCCCAUGUGAGGUGUUCACUUUCCAUCACUACUGAGACCCAUCCUACGAUAGGAUUUUAUUAUCUUCUUGUAUCAGGAUUUUAAAAAAUUGCUAACAACAAAAACAAGCUCUGGUCAUCCUAGUUCCCCUCUCCACAAAAGGCAAAGCAGUAAAGGAGCACGGGAUUAUCCGAAGGCCACCAGACGGUCACACAGAAUAAUGGAAGGGCUGAACAUGAGGUCUCAGGAUAGACGAGGAACAGGGCAGUGCCAUGGUCUCAAUCUGGACUGAACCCCAUGGUAUAGACAGGGUCAGUGAGGCUCACACCAGUGCACGCUGUUCUCAGAGGCCAUUGAUGCGGACCAGACAGACCCCACCCCCAGCAAUAGCUUCCAUACUUGGUGUCAGAAACUAUGCAAUCAGCUCCCCCCGCCCCAAUGUGGCCCCAGUCCAAUCUUUUCUCAAUAUGCCAACCAGAUCAACUAGUCCUAAAGUUUGGGUUAAGUCACUUAAACUACUGUGAUGAACAAUCAGGUGUCUACCAUGCACUAAACACUGUAUAAAACCUGGAUCUUUGUGCCAAGCUAGCGAUAAAACCUUCAGAAAUUUGUUCUCCGUUGGCAUUUAGUUGUUCAGCCGUGUCCUUCAGCUAGCAUUAGAACUUUGGGGAUUUUAGCCCCACUCCACCUCUCCAGAUAGUGUCCUGACCACCCUCUCUAUUCCCUACAUGGGCUCCAUGUCCUUCCCACGCUGAGACCAACUGCUGUUCUCUGAUGUGUCUUCUGAGUGUUCCUGCUGCUUGGGCUUCUGUUGAUGCCACUUUCUAGAGCUAGGUGGUCUCUUUCAUGCCAGCUCUCCCACAGAGCUUCCCCUGAGAGCCCACCUAGAAGUCACUGUUCCAUCCUCUGACCUCUUAAAGGUGACACUGUCUGUAUUACUGAGUCCCACUCUCUAAUUGCCGAAAGACUGUAAAACCCCGAGGGCAGGGAUCCCACAGGGUCUAACAUAGAGUGGAAUGCAAAUAAGGAAUAUUCACCUUACUCACUGGAGGACAAGGUAAAAGUGAAAAAUAGAUCAGAAUGAGAGCCAGAGAGCCCCGGUCACCUCCUGGCAUGACCUAGGCUGAAGUGCUUCCAUUCUCGCUUCCAAUACUCAGAAUUUCCUGGCUUGCUUUACUCCAUGGAACUUUCUGUCUCACUACCAGAGGUGUCACCUCCCUUGUGGACUUGAAUUUUGGUCUUAUCCCAUAAAUUGUGUCUGCCACCUUGGCUGGGCUCCAUCCGGGUCCUGAUUUGCACCUCAGAGGCACCAUUUGACUCCUCUGUCCAUUCCCUACCUCUGCCCCUGCCGAAUGCUGGGUAUAUGUCCAGGGCUCUGCUCCAUUCCAGCAGUGGGCAAUGAGCCACAGUUAGUACUGAGAGAAGCAGUCUCACACCCUCUACAGCCCUGGGAGAGUCCCUGUUUGGCAGGAAAUGCAGAGCUGUCCAUAAUGAUGGCAGAAGAUGGCACCACGGUCCUUCUCGUGCUCAAAGCACAAAAUUGGCAGCCAUCUGGCUCUUCUCUCUCCCUUGCUUUGACAGCCUGUCAGUUCCACCUUUGCAAUAUCUUUAUUAUCCAUCAGUCUCUCAAACUCCACAGUUCUUUCCUUUGAUUGGGGCUCAUUAUUUCUCACUUGAACCUGAGUGAACUCUUAACCUGUCCCAGUGUCCCCUCCUCUGCCCAUCUCUGCUCAACUGCCCAAGGGAUCUUUUAGAAUGCUUCCCCUGCCACCCAAUCGCAUUGUAGAUAAUGCGAUAAAACUCCUUAGCAGCCACCCAUGGCCCUUUACAAUCUGGUCAUGACCUAUUUCGUCAGCCUCAUCACUUACCUUCCAACACCCUCCCCGUGUCUGCUCCAUCUAACUGCUUUCCAUUCCAUCCUAAGUCCCCUUGGAUGGAAUUUUUGGACCAGCCCUAAAAUCAAACCCAAAAAUUCCAAAAAUGAAGGCAACUCCAUUUAGCUUGCUUGUUCGUUCACUAAAAAUGAAAACAAGCUGCCACUGCCAUCAAGUUCCUCAGGGCAACAGGAGGUGACAGGAAGAUCCCAAAAUGCCUGGAAAGGUGGAAAGCUGGCCAGCCUCUCCAUGAGGGCAGAACAGACCAGCUGAGGCCUAGUGAGCCACAGCAGGGGAGAUAACAGGCAAGAAUCCUGCUGCUCAAGGACAGGCGUUCAUUUGGGAAUGGCCCUGGGCACAACACAACCUAGUCCACGGCAAUCCUUUCCCGUUUCAUGUAAUAGAAUUUCCUCCAAAAAUUAUAAGCCAAGAAGCUCAUCUUUCCUUCUUUAUUGAGCUAUAAGCAGACUGCCAUAGUCGUGAGCAGAUAACUGCAAAUCUGGGCAGUGAUCUAUGAAAUCAGAACAGACCUGAGUUUGGAGAUGUGAUUAAUUAAAAUUUUUAACCAAGUUCAUCCCACAUAUAUUUAAUGUUAUGCAUAAGUGCUUUUGUGCUGGCUGGAAAUUAGCCCCAAAGAGUGGGCAGUUCACAGAAACGCUGCAGACCCUGUGAUUCUUAAACAGACAAACCUGAUUGUGUUUCUUCCCUCAGUUACUGCUUCAGAAUCCACUAGGAUGACUGGCAGAUCAUUCCCUGCUCAUGUCUGCACCAAAGCUCAUGCAUUUCUUGUGCACACAGGAUAUGUGCACUCUAACAGUGAAGGGCAUCAGGUGCUUCUUCUGGCCUUGAACUGAGGUUGCCUGUGCUUGUACUCGGGGGACCUCUGGAAUGGAAAAGGCUUGGUUGGCAUUUACAAGCACUGCAACCUUGAACAAGCCCUUCAGUCUUCUAAAAAAUGAGGAUAGCCCAAGCUCAUCCAUGGAGGCUGUGAAGAUGAACUAAAGAGACACAUUAGGACUAUACCGCCUACACUGCUUUCAGAGGAGGAGGAAACUUUUCCAUCACAGAGUUAGGGAACAGGAUUCAUAUGUGCCAACCUUGUGUAAAGACACCACUGUCCCUGACAGAUUCUACCUGUUCCUGCAAGAACAGUCCAAAUGAAGCCACUAUUGGUCUGUGUUCAUCCACCCCUGUAUAGUACGGAAUCAGGGAUUUCUGGCCAACUCAGCCAGGGCUGGGGCAGUGGAAGAAGCCCACCAGGUCAUAUACAACACUCCAGCUGAUCUGCACCAGGCUCCCUUCCACAGAGUCAGGACUUGUUGAUUUACUUUACUAAGUCUGAAUUAAAACACCAACAAAGAGGUUAAUUUGCUUUUAUGACUUCUGAAAAAGUAAUGUAUUUGUCUGGUACACGCUUUGGCUCAGAUCACUUUCUAUAGGCCCUUGUAAUGCAUGGUGAUCCUUGAGUGUGCAUGCCACAAGCAUGGGGCUGGAGCACAGAGGUUGCCCAGAGGUUCAAACAAGGAGGGUCCCGGCCCCAGGGGCACAGGCAGAUUCCUAGGGUCUCAAGGCCAAUGGGCAGAGCUAGAAUCCAGUCAGGGCAGAAGAAGUAAAGAGCACUGCAUGCCCAGAAGUGGGGGGUAAAGCCAGAUGCAGCCAUCUGGAGGUAUCCACUCUAAAAUUGAGACAGCAAAGCUUCAUCUCCCAGGCUUCUAGCUUAUGUGAAUUCUCUUACAUGUGCUGGCCUCACUAAAUCAAUAAAAUAAUAAUUUAAGUGUAAAAUAAAGUAUAGCCAAAGUGAAAUGAUUUAAGCUCACUGUCUUCUGGGAGCAGAUGUUCCAGAGGGAGUGCGAUGUGGCAGAGAAUUUGCCGGUGCUUCCUGCAGCAAUAGCGACUCCCUUUUCUCCUUACCAAGAAACUUGAUUUUGUUCACCUUCGGGGACAAGGGGCAGAGAUCCAGGUAGGAACCGCAGCACCACACCCACCAAGGCAGGCCACUCCCUUUGCCCAUGAUUGGUCCAGUCACGAACAUGUGACCCAGCCCUGGCCAAUGAGAUAUAAAAGGAAGUGCCUGGAGGCCUAUGGGAAAAAUUUUCAAAGUCCAAAUACAGGCAGGUCCUUUUUCCACCGCUUCCUGCCCUGGAUGCUGUGGUGUCGGGACGUGACGCUUGGGGCUGCCACAGCCCUCCGGUGACCAUGAAGGCCUAGACAGCUGCAGAGGUGAAGGGCAACCCAGAGACUUGGUCUCAUUAAGUUGCUGCAAUAACCUAGUAUAGCCUCUGUCUAGACUUUAUUAUGUGAGCUGCUAAAAUAUCUUUCCUGCCACAGCUACUGCUGGUCAUGUAUUCAAUUGCUUGUGUCCUCAAGCAUCCAAAGAGAUCCAUCUCAGGAGGCUUCAGUUCUUGCCUUCUCCUCACAGUGUGUGCACUUCCGUGGGCCAAGUGCGAUUCCAGUGUGUAAAGACAGGUACUUGCUACAUAACAUGGUGUCUAAAGUCAAGGCAGCUGCUUCACCUGGGUUGCAGCUGGAGAGAGACUGAAUCUGAGUUGGAAGACCUCUCACUCUGUGGGUCCUGGGAAGGAUGGUAUGUUGAACUCCAAUGUGGGGCUAUCCUGGGAAUCUUCCAGGAACUCUUCUGAACAAACAUGAUUUUUGGUUGACACUGUGACCUCAGAACCUAACCUCAGGGGCAGCUGCCUCCUGAGCCUCUUAACAGACCCCCCUCAGCUGCAUUCGAUGUCCCCACAGGCACCGACUGCAGGGACCUUUGUGAGGGCAGCUUUGUAUCUCAGGGGACUUUCACACCCUCAGUGGCUCCUUGCUCCUCUCCAUAGAUGGGGACCUCUGCGCCUUGCCUGCUUCAGUGCUGGCUGCUUGCCUACCUGUGCCUGUGGUCCAGCACAGCCUGGUGACGUGAAGAAGCCUGAACACACCCACGCUGCCAUCUCUAAGUUUUGUUCCUGCUGGUCUCUACCUAGAGUGCCCCCUCUACCCAUUCCUACCUAUUAAACUUUGUUUCCCCAGCACUCAGCACACAUUAGGCCAACCAAAGAAGGUCUCCUUAACUCAGUAAUGACGAAAACAAGUAACUCCAUUAAAAAACAGGCAAAGGACUUGAAUAGACAUUUGUCCAACGAAGAUAUACAAACGACCAAUAAGCACAUGAAAAGAUGCUCAACAUCACUAAUCACUAGGGAAAUGCAAAUUAAAACUACCAUGAGAUACCACCUCACAUACAUUAUGAUGACCAUUAUCCAAAAAAAAAAAAAAAAAUGGUAAGAGUUGGCGAGGAUGUGGAGAAUUUGGAACCUUUGUGCACUCUUGGUGGGAAUGUAAAAUGGUAAAGCCACUGUGAAAAACAGUAUGGAGGUUCCUCCAAAGAUUAAAAAUAGAACUACCAUAUGAUCUAGCAAUUCUACUUCUGAGUAUAUACCCAAAAGAACUGAAAGCCACAGGAACAGUUACUUGUACAUCAAUGAUCAUAGCAACAUUUCUCACAGUAGCCAAAAGGUGUAAGCAACCCAAGUGUCCACAGAUGACAGAUGAAUGGAUAAACAAAAUGGUUAUAUAUGUGUGUGUGUGUGUAUACAUAAUAUGUGACAUUUAUUUUUUAUGUAUAUAUAUAUAUGCAUGUAGCUAUAUAUGCAAAUAUAUACAAUACACAUACAAUGGGAUAUUAUUCAGUCUUCAAAAAGAAAAAAUCUGACAUAUGUUACAAGACGAGGAUAUUAUGCUCAAUGAAGUAAGUCAAUCACAAAAAGAUAACUACUGUAUGAGUCCAUAUAUAUUUGACUACCACCUAGAGUAGUCAAAUUCAUAGAGACAGAAAGUAUAAUGGUGGUUUCCAGGGGCUGGAGGGAGGAGGGAAUGAGGAGUUGUUGGUAGUGGGUAUAGUUUCAGUUUUGCAACAUGAAAGAGUUUUGGAGAUGGUUGCAUAAGGGUAUGAAUAUACUUUACUGAACUAUAUACUUAAAAAUUGUUUCGAUGGUAUAUUUUAUAUGUAAUUUACCACAAUUACAAUUUUAAAAUAAAAGGUAUCCUUUGCUAAGCCUUCUCCGAUACCAGACUCUGAUUGCGCCGCAUUGCUCAUCAAUCUGCCUUGACUCCUUGUUUUCUGUUCUUUCAGGAUUGUUUUGAGACAUACCCAGUUGCCUAGAGCAAAAUAAUUACAGAGAAAUAGAGCCAGAGUCCUGACUGAACUGCUUCUAAAGUGUAAACUUUCUAGGGCAUUUCAAUUACAUGAACCAGUAAAUCUCCUUUUUAACAUUAAGAUAGUUUGAGUUGGUGUCCUGUUACUUGCAACCAAACUCAACCUAAUUGAGUCUACACUUGACUUGAAAUAUCAGAACACUAAGAAGAAAAGACACUAAAGAUUUCUAGGGAACGAACAAAAGAAAGUUCAUAGACAAAAGGCUGAAAAUAAUAUGGCAUCUAACCCCUCAUUUGCAACAUUAGAUGCAAAAAUGAGCAAUGUGUGCAUACUUCUGAGAAAAGAGGACUUUGAAUCUGGAAUUCUCUAUCUGGCUAGAUAAUUAAGUAUGGGAAUAGAAGAAAUACAUUUUUAUAUAUGAAUGGAAUUCAUAUAUUAAAGUUUACCUCUUGGGUACUCUUUAAGUAGCUCUUUGGGGGAGUGUUCCAGCAAAACAAGGAAGGAAAACCAAUAAAAGUAGGAGACAAGGAUCCCACCUAGGAGGAUGGUUAAGCUAGGACAGAUGAGAGUUGUACGGCUGGAGAGAACUGGACAGGAUAGAAAAGUGUGGGCCUUUUAUGAAAAAAGAGAGGAGAGGCCAGAGACGCUGGGUCAAAUGGGGUUAUGGUGAGAGCAUUUCUCUCUCAACUACGACCACCGGAGCUCCCCCCCUCAAAAUCCAAAAACACAGAGCUAUAUGAUGUGGUCCAAAAAUCAUGUAAAUAAAUGUGACACAAUUUUAAGCUCUUUAUGGAACAUGAGAAAAGAAAAUACAUUUGACCCUGGUAGUAGGAAUUUCCCUAUGAGUGGUCCAGGGCUGCUUGACCCUGGAGUGAAUAUUUAUGUGGUCAUAAUGAUUUCAG